GACGAACGCUGGCGGCGUGCUUUACACAUGCAAGUCGAACGGUGAAGGUGGAGCUUGCUCCGCCGGAUCAGUGGCGAACGGGUGAGUAACACGUGGGCAACCUGCCCCUAACUUUGGGAUAACUACUCGAAAGAGUAGCUAAUACCGGAUAUGAAGUCUGUAGGCAUCUAUGGAUUUGGAAAGUUUUUCGGUUAGGGAUGGGCCCGCGGCCUAUCAGCUUGUUGGUGAGGUAGUGGCUCACCAAGGCGACGACGGGUAGCCGGCCUGAGAGGGCGACGGGCCACACUGGGACUGAGACACGGCCCAGACUCCUACGGGAGGCAGCAGUGGGGAAUAUUGCGCAAUGGGCGAAAGCCUGACGCAGCAACGCCGCGUGCGGGAUGAAGGCCUUCGGGUUGUAAACCGCUUUCAGCAGGGAAGAAGCGAAAGUGACGGUACCUGCAGAAAAAGCACCGGCUAACUACGUGCCAGCCGCCGCCGUAA
rnacentral:rRNA from 1 species